UACAGAGGUCUCGAGCGUUAGGCGGAAUCACUGGGCUUAAAGCGUGUGUAGGCGGCGGGCUAAGUACCUUGUGAAAUCCCACGGCUUAACUGUGGAACUGCUGGGUAUACUGGUUCGCUUGAGCGGUCUAGGGGCGAGCGGAACAAAUGGUGGAGCGGUGAAAUGCGUAGAUAUCAUUUGGAACGCCAACGGUGAAAACAGCUCGCUGGGGACCUGCUGACGCUGAGACGCGAAAGCCAGGGGAGCGAACGGG
rnacentral:rRNA from 1 species